AUGCUUUUGUCCAUCUUUAGGUUGCCAAGAUACCUUUCCUCUUGGAUUCAGACCUACCUCGAAUGAACCUGGCUUUGUCACCACACUGCAGUAUUGUACCUCACUCUACCAUGGGCAGUCUCUGAAGGACAGCCAAGAAACACCAACUUGUUCUGAAUACAGCAGCUGCCUUUUGGGAAGGGGAAAUGAAGGAAUGAUGUCUGGAGUUGAUCUCACCCAGAAUUUCAGUGAAAUGGGCAAGGACUAAAGAGGCUUCUUUCAUAAGAAAUUUGCAGACAUCCAGUCAGAAGCAGAAACAGUACAAUGUGACUCAGGUGACUAACAACACAACACAACCAUCAAGAAGGAAUAAACAAUAGUCCAAGGGAGCAGUUACAAAUGAUCCACAGGCUAAAUACUUUUCAUCAAAUACAUUGCCAGAAAUUAGGUUUGGUUCAUGAACAAUUUAUGAAGAAAAAGGGGGGCUAAAUGCACAGUAAAUAUUAUUCUGAGAUAAUAAUAUGACCAACUUCUAACUGCAGCUAUUAUAUUCAGCUUGCUGGGGUGGGGAGGAGAGAAGGUGCUUAGCAUACUCUCUUGGGAGUCAAUAUGACAAGAGGCUCCUUAUUUUCUCAUUCUGAUUUAAUGAUGCUAGAGUCUCAUAGGAGAGAUGAGUGGUGUGCAAUGGACCUUGCCAAAACCUUGAAGACUCCAGUAAUGAAGUUUAGAGUUUAUAGUAGGUCAUUGCACAAUAUGAAAGUAGUUGUGGCAGAUACUUUUGGCUGAAGCCAUGGAGAAAGGGAUUCUACUAUCAGAAAUGAAGGGAGCAAAAAAGAACACAAAUACUAAUAAAAGGGCAAAAUUAGCUCAUCUUGUGGGUUACCCUAUUAAUAUUAAAUUAUUUGACAUUAGUUUCACAUUUCAAAUUACAAACCAUGGAAUCAGUUGGAAGAUCUAAAAGAUUUUCCCAGGCAAGGAAUUUCCCUGCUUGCAAGAUUGAAAUAGCUUUAGAUGAUUGCUUUCAUCUAUCUUUCUUUUCCUGAUACUAUCAUAGCCAUCAUAGCUAUUUCCAAUAACCUCUUAAAGAGCAAGUCAAACACUAAGAAUUUUUUAAAAUCUAAUGCUGGACUGUAGCUAUCAUUGUUUGGAAGGAAGUGCUGCUUAAGCUGUGAGCUAUACUUAGUACCGUGGGCCAAUUUUCUCAUGUCUUUUAGAGUUGCAAAGAACCACCUGCCUGAACUUGACAGGAAGCCAGAAGACAACUGUAUGAUUUACACCCACCACUUCCAUACGAGCUGUGGGAAUGUAAGCUUAACCACUAUUUUCUUAUUCAAAAGAUACCACUCGGAAAGAACUAUUAAAUAUAUUUUCUGCCCCCAUCAUUCUAAACAUAUGACAAGGAUAUAAUAGCUUUAAGGAAGUGCUUGUUUUUUUCCUCAUAAUACUCAUGACAUGUUAAUAUUUGGUUUAGACAAGAAGUAAUGUAAUGUAUUAUUUAAUAGCUGGAUUCUAAUCACUUAAGGCCUGAUCCAACCCCCAUUGGCAUAUAUGGCAAGUCUUCAGACCCUGGAUUGGACCAUUAGAUAGCUAAGUACAACCAAAGGCAUUUAAAUCAUCCAUCUCUAAAAGAAUUUGCAUGUAACUUGUUUACGUGUAUUAGCUAAUAAAUGAUGUCAUACCUCUGUUUUAUCGUAUGGACUAAUUUAUGGAGAAUUAUUGAGUAGUAUCAAGAAAACUGUAAAUUAUUCCUUUUGAAGAAGAAAUACAGCAACAAUAAGAUAAAGACCAUAGAAAUGAGAGAGAAAAUAACAUGGUAACUCAUUGUCACCAAUGAAAUAUAAUGUUAGAAACAUACUUAUAUAGUGCCUUUCAUUCUUAAAGAACCCAAGUACUUUAAAAUAUGAAUCAGAUUAAUACUCAAACCAGUGCAACACUUAUUCCUGGAGAAAUUCUGCAUCACUGCAUGUGCACAUAAUUAAUGAGUCACACAUAUUUUUAAUUUUUUGCACAAAAAAAGCUUCUGCUGAAAAGUUCUUAUAGUUCUGCCUUUGGCCCACCAGAGGGCUCUGUGACGCUAGAAUACAGCAGCCACUACCAACCAGCUAGGGAAGAGAAAGAGCCUGCCUUCUUCACAGUGCCUGUUGGGCCAGGUCAGGAGACAGGGGCUAUAGUGAGACAGACAGCAUGGGUAUGGUGGGGCGGAGGGUCAGACAGGGGCUCCAAGUUUACACCCAGGCUCCUUCUGAGCAACUAUUUCCCUCUCCCUCAGCUCCACCAUUACUCCAACUCCCCAGAGCCUUUGCACUGUUUCGGGUUGGGGGUGCAGGGGGGGGGGUGAUGCGGGAAAUAUGGUUCUGUAUUGUAGUUUAAAUGAAUUAUUACUUAGAGUUCUGUAUUAAUAUGCUUAGUAAGGAAUCUAUUUGUC